GACGAACGCUGGCGGCGUGCUUAACACAUGCAAGUCGAACGGAAAGGCCCUGCUUUUGUGGGGUGCUCGAGUGGCGAACGGGUGAGUAACACGUGAGUAACCUGCCCUUGACUUUGGGAUAACUUCAGGAAACUGGGGCUAAUACCGGAUAGGAGCUCCUGCUGCAUGGUGGGGGUUGGAAAGUUUCGGCGGUUGGGGAUGGACUCGCGGCUUAUCAGUUUGUUGGUGGGGUAGUGGCUUACCAAGGCUUUGACGGGUAGCCGGCCUGGGAGGGUGACCGGCCACAUUGGGACUGAGAUACGGCCCAGACUCCUACGGGAGGCAGCAGUGGGGAAUAUUGCACAAUGGUCGGAAGCCUGAUGCAGCAACGCCGCGUGCGGGAUGACGGCCUUCGGGUUGUAAACCGCUUUCGCCUGUGACGAAGCGUGAGUGACGGUAAUGAGUAAAGAAGCACCGGCUAACUACGUG
rnacentral:rRNA from 1 species